AAAGGAAGAACUUCCCUGAGGCUUUGUUUCAGAAACCUUGGGCCUAGCGCGUGAGGCCACCCCUGGAGAGUGCAGAGUCUGGGACAAUCAUCUCUCCCGCCUGCGGGUCAGCCUGGCCGUGGCCAAACACAGACGCCAUAUCACAAGGCCCCUCAGCCCAAGGCAGGGCGGCCAGCCUCACAGCUUGUCCCGAAGCCUGAGACUUGGUUUCUGUUCCUGUCUUGCCCAGAGGGCCCUUGGAGCUGCAGCCUGAGGGGGUGCUGGGGUGGGGGCGGUCGAGACCCUGGUCACUGCCACAUGGUUCCCACCUUCGGCCACUGCGUUCUCCCCCCAGACACAGGGGAGCGGCUGCGGACAGGUGGCUGCGCCACGGAGUGCCGAACAACCCGCUGGGGACACCACAGUGCCGGGCACAGAAUAGCAGCUGUCACGGCCAGGGCAGGAGC
ensembl:lncRNA novel transcript